AUGUGGGGUGACGCAGGUUAUUCGGGAUGAGAAUUGAAUAGAAGGCUUUAUUGAGUUUUUCAUUUGAUGGAUGUAUGUGUGUAUGCGAUCAUUGUGUAUUUGCAUAGAUCGAAGAAUAAUCGAAGAAAAAGGUUGUGAGAAUGACGAGAACGGGGCCGUUAAAGAACGGAAAAGGGUUGAUAGAGAGAGCUUUGGAAAGGUACUACGAAAAAUACAUAGAAACAAGUUCGCCGGUGCCUCUCUACGACGUUUGCUUCGGUGGCAUGAUUUUGUCCUACUUUGUCGAACUCCCCUUUGAACUCCGCCACCUCGAGCACGAGAAGCACGCCAAGGAACAUGGCAGUGCCGCCGCCACCACCCACUGAUCCAUCCUUCAUUCACCGGAUCGGAUUGGUUCAUGAUCGUUGAUGAAUUGGAGAUGG